CUAGGAAAUGCUUCUCACAGAAGAUAGAGCUUUAGCUGAAACUUGAAGGUUGCCAAGAAAGCUUAGAGGUGGAGUUGAGAAAGGAGAGGUAGUGUUCCAAACACUGAAGACAGGGAAUAAAAAUGCUUAGGGUCAGGAGACUGAGGAUUGUGUGAGAUGAAAAGCAAGGAGACCAGUGUCAGUGAAGACAUUAUUACGAUAAAAUGAAUAUCCACCCAAAGGUUCUCUGUGUGUGUGUGGAGGAGAGGAUUAGCAAAGAGCUUACCACCUUCCUGUUAUAACAAUAUUUAUAGAAAUGCAAUGUCCCUUUGGACACUCUAAAAUAAAAGAGACUAAUACCAGCUUGAAGCCAGACAAGAAGCCUGUGAAACUUCAGACAGUUUUCGUCACAGCUGGCCUUGCCUGGACAGUUUCAGACAAAGGACUUCCGUCUUUAUCUACCCCCUAUUUUGAUGUCUCAUACAACUAGAGAUAAAAUAAAAGAUGUGCUUUGAAAUCCA